AAAAAGAAAAACUUUGAACCCGCAACUCCAGAAGCAAAAAGUAAAAUCUGUUUUCAUCUGAAUUACAGAGAAUUUCAGCGGAAACUGAAUCUGAAUGAAAACAGUUUGAAAUCAAAGCGACGGGAAGCGAGAAGCUGCUGGAGCUUCACCUGCGGACAGGAACUCCGGCUGACCUCCAGGGAAAACCGUCGGGAACGUCUCAGAGUUACCGGGGAAACUGCUGGAAGUCUGAUCCCAGUCAGAUCCGAUGGGACCUGACAUCGGAUCAGAACCUGAUUUAGCUUCCGGCUCGUUAAAGCUGAUCUCAGCUCAGACUCCUGCUGAUGCUCCAGACGAACCGGAGGAAAUCUGAUCCAUGGAGCUGCUGGAACCGAACAGGCGGGAUCCGGACCUUCGCUGCGAUGAUUGUUAAUGAUUUCCUCUGAAUGCAUGUUGUAGUUCUGUUCAUAACCAGAAAUAAAACUGCGUGU